rnacentral:rRNA from 1 species
AGUGAACGCUGGCGGUAGGCCUAACACAUGCAAGUCGAACGGCAGCACAGUAAGAGCUUGCUCUUACGGGUGGCGAGUGGCGGACGGGUGAGGAAUACAUCGGAAUCUACUUUUUCGUGGGGGAUAACGUAGGGAAACUUACGCUAAUACCGCAUACGACCUACGGGUGAAAGCAGGGGAUCUUCGGACCUUGCGCGAUUGAAUGAGCCGAUGUCGGAUUAGCUAGUUGGCGGGGUAAAGGCCCACCAAGGCGACGAUCCGUAGCUGGUCUGAGGGGAUGAUCAGCGACACGGCAGCUGGGACACGGUCCAGACUCCGACGGGAGGCAGGGGUGGGAAAUAUAGGACAAGGGGCGGAAGCCUGUUCUAGCCAUACGGCGUAGGUGAAGAAGGCCUUCGGGUUGUAAAUCCCUUUUGUUGGGAAAGAAAAGAAGCAGGUUAACACCCAGCUGUUCUGACGGUACCCAAAGAAUAAGCACCGGCUACCUUCGG